rnacentral:rRNA from 1 species
GACAGAGGGGGCAAGCGUUGCUCGGAAUCACUGGGCGUAAAGGGCGCGUAGGCGGGAUGGCAAGUCAGUCGUGAAAUCUCUCGGCUCAACCGAGAAACGUCGGCUGAUACUGCCGUUCUUGAGGGAUGCAGAGGAGACUGGAAUUCCCGGUGUAGCGGUGAAAUGUGUAGAGAUCGGGAGGAACACCGGUGGCGAAGGCGGGUCUCUGGGCAUCUCCUGACGCUGAGGCACGAAAGCUAGGGGAGCAAACAGG